rnacentral:rRNA from 1 species
AGAGUUUGAUCAUGGCUCAGAACGAACGCUGGCGGCAGGCCUAACACAUGCAAGUCGAGCGAAGCCUUCGGGCUUAGCGGCGGACGGGUGAGUAACGCGUGGGAACGUGCCCUUUGGUACGGAAUAGCCCCGGGAAACUGGGAGUAAUACCGUAUGUGGUCGAGAGACGAAAGAUUUAUCGCCAAAGGAUCGGCCCGCGUUGGAUUAGGUAGUUGGUGGGGUAAUGGCCUACCAAGCCGACGAUCCAUAGCUGGUUUGAGAGGAUGAUCAGCCACACUGGGACUGAGACACGGCCCAGACUCCUACGGGAGGCAGCAGUGGGGAAUCUUAGACAAUGGGGGAAACCCUGAUCUAGCCAUGCCGCGUGAUCGAUGAAGGCCUUAGGGUUGUAAAGAUCUUUCAGUGGGGAAGAUAAUGACUGUACCCACAGAAGAAGCCCCGGCUAACUCCGUGCCAGCAGCCGCGGUAAUACGGAGGGGGCUAGCGUUGUUCGGAAUUACUGGGCGUAAAGCGCACGUAGGCGGAACAGAAAGUCAGAGGUGAAAUCCCAGGGCUCAACCUUGGAACUGCCUUUGAAACUCCUGUUCUUGAGGUCGAGAGAGGUGAGUGGAAUUCCGAGUGUAGAGGUGAAAUUCGUAGAUAUUCGGAGGAACACCAGUGGCGAAGGCGGCUCACUGGCUCGAUACUGACGCUGAGGUGC